rnacentral:rRNA from 1 species
AUCUGUGGCCACGCUACCCAAAUCCAUGUACCAGACAGAGACAGUAGUUCUACACCACCUUUGGGCCUGGUUAGUACUUGGAUGGGAGACCACCUAGGAAGACCGGGUGCUGUAGGCA